GCAGCCACUCAUUCAAAGAGUGCGUAAUAGCUCACUGGUCGAGUGAUCCUGCGCCGAAGAUUUCCGGGGCUAAAACUUACUACCGAAGCUACGGCAUCAGUAAUGAUGGGUAGGGGAGCUUCCCAUACGGGUUGAAGCAUGACCGUAAGGACAUGUGGACAGUAUGGGAGUGAGAAUGUUGGCAUGAGUAGCGAGAUGUGGGUGAGAAUCCCACAGGCCGUAAACCCAAGGUUUCCAGGGGAAGGUUCGUCCGCCCUGGGUUAGUCGGGACCUAAGCUGAGGCCGAAAGGCGUAGGUGAUGGACAACAGGUUGAUAUUCCUGUACUACCGAUAACCGUUUGAGAGAUGGGAUGACACAGUAGGAUAAGCUAAGCACACUGUUGGUUAUGUGUGCCCAAGCAUUGAGGCAGUCAAAGUAGGCAAAUCCGCUUUGAUAAUGCUGGGAUGUGAUGGGGAGCGAAAUUUAGUAGCGAAGUAGCUGAUUUCACACUGUCAAGAAAAGUCUCUAUCGAGGUUAAAGGUACCCGUACCGCAAACCGACACAGGUGGGUGAGGAGAGUAUCCUAAGGCCA
rnacentral:rRNA from 1 species